rnacentral:lncRNA from 1 species
CCAGAUGAUACAAGAGCAAAGGGAGUAUCUUGAUACAAAACUUACAACUCAAGAGAGAUACAUUGUCGAUAAUUACAAGAAGUUGAACGAAGCCUUUAUAAGCCGAUCAAAUUCGCGCGAUCGAACUUUUAAACGAAGGGAGGACCAUGUUUUUUAUGAUGACUUUGAGUCCGAGUAUGUACCUAGAGAAAGGGUGGAACGAAACAAUGACACCCCCAAACCAAAAUUUCCUUCUUUCUCAGGGAAGAAUGAUCCUGAUGCUUACCUUGAUUGGGAGGAAAAGAUGGAAGCAAUAUUUGCUUGUUACAAUUACUCUGAUGAGAAGAAGGUAACAUACGCUGUCGCUGAGUUCAUUAAUUAUGCACUAACAUGGUGGAAUCAAUUAUGUAAAAGCAGGAUUCUUUAUAGAGAGCAACCUGUUACUACUUGGGUUGAAAUGAAGCGCAUCUUACGAAAACGGUUUGUUCCACCAUACUAUUAUCAAGAACUCCAUCAAAGACUCCA